rnacentral:rRNA from 1 species
GACGAACGCUGGCGGCGUGCUUAACACAUGCAAGUCGAGCGAUGAAGCUUCUUCGGAAGUGGAUUAGCGGCGGACGGGUGAGUAACACGUGGGUAACCCGCCUCAUAGAGGGGAAUAGCCUUCCGAAAGGAAGAUUAAUACCCCAUAAGAUUGUAGCUUCGCAUGAAGCAGCAAUUAAAGGAGCAAUCCGCUAUGAGAUGGGCCCGCGUCGCAUUAGCUAGUUGGUGAGGUAACGGGUCACCAAGGCGACGAUGCGUAGCCGACCUGAGAGGGUGAUCGGCCACAUUGGGACUGAGACACGGCCCAGACUCCUACGGGAGGCAGCAGUGGGGAAUAUUGCACAAUGGGGGAAACCCUGAUGCAGCAACGCCGCGUGAGUGAUGACGGUCUUCGGAUUGUAAAGCUCUGUCUUCAGGGACGAUAAUGACGGUACCUGAGGAGGAAGCCACGGCUAACUACGUGCCAGCAGCCGCAGUAA